rnacentral:lncRNA from 1 species
UUCAGAGCUUAUUUGUUUGAAACUUACCAAGAUUAUUAUUAUUUUUUUUUUCAUCAGGAAGUGCCUAGUCACAGAAAUUUGUGCCAACAAGUACCUGUUUCAAUGACAGCUCCUCCAGGAAACUUUUCUCGGUUUAUGGUGGGGGGGUGAAGAAAUAUCUGUUCAAUUCUACAGUUCCAUGCACGAAGCAGCCAUCACCAAGUUCUAUGAAGAGUGCCUCUGUACUGUGUACAAGACACACUGAAGGUUCUAUCUGUGAUCAGAACUCCAUCUGAAUUCCUGCUGCCUACACACAAACAUAUACUGCCUCUUGAGAUACCCAACACUUCCCAACAGGCCUGGCAGAUAUGACAUAGGAUCUGCAGGAGAAUUACAGCUUUCUUGAGUGAUAGCUAGAAGCCAGGAAGGACAGCCUCAGGAAACCCUACAAAAUACUAAAGAGCUGUGGGUUCUGAUUUUCUUUUGACAUUGUAAUUUAUUAUUAAACACAUGUUGGACUCCACAUAUUUGGGGAAGAGAAAGUAUUUGAAGAGAAUGAUUUUGCUUUCUUGUCAGAAAAGAAAAUACUGAAACAAGUUCUUUAGGAAAAUGGCAACUAGACUCUUACUAAUACACAGUCUAAGAAUAAUUCUUUUGAUAUGCCAUGUUUGGUCUUGGACAGCUUUAAAUGUGUUGUUGGCGAUGAGGAGGACCUAGACAAAAAGAUAAGUGUUAUUAGGAGAAUUAGUGAGGAUUUUCCUUUUUUCUAAUUCUGGAGGUUGCAUUCACAGGACUGCUCUGUUCCAGCUGAUGACAUGAAAUGGAGACUUUUCAGGUAUAACAGAAGACAAGAACAAGUGGGAGAUGAGAUAACUAACUGCGUAGAUAUAAAAUGCCCAUAACAGCUAGUCAGUGGACCCCAAUGCCUGCUACGAUGAUAUCUCACAAUUUCAGUAGCCCUGUGGACGAAAAGAUUACUUGUAUCCUCAUUUCCUGGCACCAAUGCACUCAUCCAUUGUUCAGCAAGUAAAAGAUCACCCUCAAGCUUCUGGUAGGAAAGAAUCUAAGAUCUGUGGCAUCUUACAGAUGGUCUUGAAGACUCAGAUUUUCUUUUUCAUCUAUUAGAAGUGAGAGGUAGUCUGCGCUACUAAGUUAUUGUUGAGUUGAUAUUGAUGAUUUGUGCUGUUUCUCACACCAUGUAAGAUACUAACCUGUUUAAAUAAACAGACAAACAGCAACA